UACAGAGGUCCCAAGCGUUGUUCGGAUUCACUGGGCGUAAAGGGUGCGUAGGUGGCGAGGUAAGUCGGAUGUGAAAGCUCCGAGCUCAACUCGGAAAUGGCAUUGGAAACUACCUUGCUCGAGGGUUUGAGGGGGGACUGGAAUACUUGGUGUAGCAGUGAAAUGCGUAGAUAUCAAGUAGAACACCAGUGGCGAAGGCGAGUCCCUGGAAAACUCCUGACACUGAGGCACGAAAGCUAGGGGAGCAAACAGG
rnacentral:rRNA from 1 species